ACUGAGGUCUAUCCCGACUGAUUCCUCACAGUAGAGUCAUGUCGUUGGAAACGCCUCAAAGAUUAAUUUUGUUGUAUUGCUUUACCCAUAUUGCUACUUCCGUUAACUUUGUGGGCAAAUGCUACAAGACAAUU
ensembl:snoRNA